rnacentral:lncRNA from 1 species
CACAUGCUGACCAUAGUAUAAGGAAGGAUGAAUACGGCUCUCCAUGAGCUGCCGGUCAAGUGCUGUGGAAGAGCCGAUGCCCAACUUGGAGGAGACGCUCAGGCCUCCAGAUGUUUAGAACAAGGCCUGGUGUUGAGCCCGCCCCGCGCCCCAGCCUCCGCACGCAGACACAGACACACCCGCAGGCUCCGACUCCACCCUAACCCCAACACCGACAGUGUGAAGCCCACAGGCUGCUCUGGCUAGCGGUCACCUCCAACCCGCACAGCCUCUGGCUCCAGACGCCCAGCCCUGGACCUCUGCCACCAAGCGGACCCCAGCCUCCCUGCACAUUCCAACAGCCAGCCGUGCGACCUCCAGCAGGCAAAGAAUCAUCCCCAGCAGAACUCCCACUCCCGCUCCUACUCCAGCCGCUGCGCUUUACAAAACUGUAUCACCCGUGCUUACGACAGCCCUCUGGGACAUGCUAGCGCCACCACGUUGCAAAUGAGAACCUAACGCUGAGAGGAUCAGUGCCCUCCAGUCACCCGCACCGAGUACCAGAGCCAGCAUCUCAGAGUUUCCCAAGCGGUGCUCCAGUCCUCUAAGCUCUUCGGAUACUCGCCGUCAGAAUGCAUGGAUUUUAUCCCUUGUCACCUGCCCCAGAGUGGGUAGUGUCCAGUAGGUGACGGGUACAGAACUAACGCUGAAUUAAGGAGUAGAUGAAUAAAUGGCUGAAUAGGAGAAGCGGGCAUGUUUGGUGACCAUAAAUUAAGGCGUGAGUCUCCUUGGAAAACUUCUCCGUGUGUUUGUACCUUUGUACCCUGAAGAUGAUUCUGAAGCGAUGGGCCUAUUUUAGUUUCUGCCUUCCUUGUAAGUCCUAGAAAAACUGAAGCUUUUCGGAGCGCAGCACUGGAACUGAAAGGAGCCCACCAUGGUGUGUCUUUAGGAAUAGUUGGAGG